UACGUAGGGUGCGAGCGUUGCCCGGAUUUAUUGGGCGUAAAGGGCGCGCAGGCGGCCACGCACGUCCGUUGUGAAAUCGCUCGGCUCAACUGGGCGGGGUCAGCGGAUACGGCGUGGCUGGAGCAAGCUAGGGGGCAAUGGAAUUCCCGGUGUAGUGGUGGAAUGCGUAGAUAUCAGGAGGAACACCGGUGGCGAAGGCGGCUUGCUGGGCCUUACCUGACGCUGAGGAGCGAAAGCGUGGGGAGCGAACAGG
rnacentral:rRNA from 1 species